rnacentral:rRNA from 1 species
UACAGAGGGUGCAAGCGUUGUUCGGAAUUAUUGGGCGUAAAGCGCGUGUAGGCGGCUUUGCAAGUCGGGUGUGAAAGCCCUCAGCUCAACUGAGGAAGUGCGCCCAAAACUGCAUGGCUUGAAUACCGGAGAGGAUGGCGGAAUUCCCCAAGUAGAGGUGAAAUUCGUAGAUAUCUGGAGGAACACCGGUGGCGAAGGCGGCAUCCUGGACCGGCAUUGACGCUGAGGCGCGAAAGCCAGGGGAGCAAACGGG